rnacentral:ncRNA from 1 species
AAAGGGGUGCUCGUAUGGGACGGGCUGAGAUUAUACCCUCAAACCUGAUUCGGAUAAUACCGACGUAGGAAUUGUGAA